rnacentral:rRNA from 1 species
UACGUAGGGUGCGAGCGUUAAUCGGAAUUACUGGGCGUAAAGCGUGCGCAGGCGGUUAUGCAAGACAGAUGUGAAAUCCCCGGGCUUAACCUGGGAACUGCAUUUGUGACUGCAUAGCUAGAGUGUGUCAGAGGGGGGUAGAAUUCCACGUGUAGCAGUGAAAUGCGAUAGAUAUGUGGAGGAAUACCGAUGGCGAAGGCAGCCCCCUGGGAUAACACUGACGCUCAUGCACGAAAGCGUGGGGAGCAAACAGG